GCACUCUAUUCACUGUGCCACAUAGCUGCCUGAUAUGCCACAUAACACAUAUAAAGUUGAUAAAAGGCAACAUGUGGUAAGGGUAAACAAAGUGUUCUUGAGGAGAAAUGACUUUUAACUGAGCCUUCAAACUUUUAUAGAGGAAGUGAUGCCUGAGCAGAGCUUUAAAGAAAAAGAUUUUUCAAUAGGAAAAAAAUGAGUGGAAAGGAGAAGAUAAAUAAAAACCCAAAUGUCCCUGGAAGACUUUUCCAGUCCCCUCCAACAGUAACAGCCACCCUCAACCAGGCAGGAUGAUGUCAUCAGCUCCCUCAUAAUGGCUAGGUUGGGGAGUGGAGGAUGACCUAACAGAAGGACUUAUUGUAAGCAAAGCCUCCAAGAGUGAGAUACCCAGGACUACAGGCACAGACAACAGGAGGUACCGGCACUCGCCCCACGGAAAGGAGAGACAGACCAUAAACAGCAGAUUGGGGGACCAAUCCAAUCAAUCUGAACAGGAGACAGUAGAACUCAUGCCUACAAAGAGACCUCGACAUCAUUACACCGGAACAUCAGGAUCGAGAAGGAAAGGCAGGCACAGCACUUCGGUAAGAACUGGUCCUAGAAUGAAGGUCACAGGAUCAUGACAAGGGUUCAGGGGACUUUAAGGAUCAUGUAGGAUAACCGCCCUCAUUUUGCAUAGGAAGAAAAUGAGGUUCCAGGGACAUGAAGAGGUUCAGACUCUCAAUUCAAGGUUCUUUGUGCUAUUAGGAGGAGAGAUGACUUGUCUGCUUCCCCAGGCUGAGAUUAAUUAGUUAGUUGGUGCCAGGAGUUAGAACUACAGGCCCAUCUAACAGAGCCACCAUCUAUAACCACCAAGGUUCUGCCUCUCCUGGCCAUUUUGUUGUGUCAAUAUGAUGAAACAUUCCACAAAUUCUC
rnacentral:lncRNA from 1 species